UACGUAGGGUGCAAGCGUUUGUCCGGAAUUAUUGGGCGUAAAGCGGGUGUAGGUGGCUUGGUAAGUCGGGUGUGAAAGCCCAGGGCUCAACCCUGGAAGUGCAUUCGAUACUGCUUAGCUUGAGUGCGAGAGAGGUUAAUAGAAUACCUGGUGUAGUGGUGAAAUACGUAGAUAUCAGGUGGAACACCGGAGGCGAAGGCGGUUAACUGGCUCGACACUGACACUGAGACCCGAAAGUGCGGGGAUCAAACAGG
rnacentral:rRNA from 1 species